AAACUUUACAAUGCUGGAAACAGCGAUAAGGGAACCUCGAGUGCCGAGAUACAAUUUCGGCUGUCGUUGUGUCUAAAAAACACGAUAUAGCAAGGGCCGGGCAAGACCGGUGCCAGCCGCCGCGGUAACACCGGCGGCUCGAGUGGUAACCGCUAUUAUUGGGUCUAAAGGGUCUGUAGCCGGUCUGGUUAGUCUCUUGGGAAAUCCGGCAGCUCAACUGUCGGGCUUUCAGGGGAUACUGCUAGACUCGAGACCGGGAGAGGUGAGAGGUACUUCAGGGGUAGGGGUGAAAUCUUGUAAUCCUUGAAGGACCACCAGUGGCGAAGGCGUCUCACCAGAACGGAUCUGACGGCAAGGGACGAAAGCUAGGGGCACGAACCGG
rnacentral:rRNA from 1 species